UUUCCGUAGGUGAACCUGCGGAAGGAUCAUUGUCGAAACCUGCCCAGCAGAACGACUCGAGAACCUGUGAACCCCCGGCGCGGAACGCGCCAAGGACUACUCAAAUGAGACCGUCGGGCCAUCGUGCCCCGUUCGCGGGCGCAUAGGUGGCGUGGCGUCUUUAUUAACAUAAAUGACUCUCGGCAACGGAUAUCUCGGCUCUCGCAUCGAUGAAGAACGUAGCGGAAUGCGAUACUUGGUGUGAAUUGCAGAAUCCCGUGAACCAUCGAGUCUUUGAACGCAAGUUGCGCCCAAUGCCGUCAGGCUGAGGGCACGUCUGCCUGGGCGUCACGCAUCGCGUCGCCCCCCUCCUGUUGCGGAGCGGGGAGCGGAGGAUGGCCUCCCGUGCCCAAACUUGGAUGUGGCUGGCCGAAAUGUUGGUCCUUGACGACAAACGUCACAACGAGUGGUGGUCGUACCUAGCGUGCUUAUCGUCGCGUCGUGACCUGUUGUCUUGCGAUUUUGACCCUUUUGAGCUGGUGUGAGCUAGCUCUCUGACCGCGACCCCAGGUCAGGCGGGACUACCCGCUGAGUUUAA
rnacentral:rRNA from 1 species